CCGUGUGGCAAUCCAGAGGCGUGAUGCGGACCGAACUAAAGUAGGGAAGUGUGUGAGCCAUGAAUCAAGAAAAGCCGCUAUUGUUUUUAAGAUACCCGUACCGUAAACCGACACAGGUGGAUGAGGAGAGAAUCCUAAGGCCGGCGGAAGAAGCAUUGUUAAGGAACUCGGCAAAAUGACCCCGUAACUUCGGGAGAAGGGGUGCCAACGAGAGUUGGCCGCAGAGAAUAGGCUCAAGCAACUGUUUAGCAAAAACACAGGUCUAUGCAAAACCGUAAGGUGAGGUAUAUGGGCUGACGCCUGCCCGGUGCUGGAAGGUUAAGAGGAGAGGUUAGCGCAAGCGAAGCUUUGAAUUUAAGCCCCAGUAAACGGCGGCCGUAACUAUAACGGUCCUAAGGUAGCGAAAUUCCUUGUCGGGUAAGUUCCGACCCGCACGAAAGGCGUAAUGAUUUGAGCGCUGUCUCGACAAUGCAUCCGGUGAAAUUGAAGUACCAGUGAAGAUGCUGGUUACCCGCGCCAGGACGGAAAGACCCCAUGGAGCUUUACUCCAGUUUGGUACUGGGGUCCGGCAGUGCAUGUACAGGAUAGGUGGGAGGCUGAGAACCUGGAACGCCAGUUUCAGGGGAGCCAUUGUUGGGAUACCACCCUUGUGCUGCUGGGCUUCUAACCAGCGGCCUUUAUCAGGCCGGGGGACAAUGCCAGACGGGGAGUUUGACUGGGGCGGUCGCCUCCGAAAGGGUAUCGGAGGCGCUCAAAGGUUCCCUCAGAAUGGUCGGAAACCAUUCGAAGAGUGCAAAGGCAGAAGGGAGCUUGACUGCGACACCGACGGGUGGAGCAGGUACGAAAGUAGGACUUAGUGAUCCGGUGGUAUUAAGUGGGAAUGCCAUCGCUCAACGGAUAAAAGCUACCCUGGGAUAACAGGCUUAUCACUCCCAAGAGUUCACAUCGACGGAGUGGUUUGGCACCUCGAUGUCGGCUCAUCGCAUCCUGGGGCUGUAGUAGGUCCCAAGGGUUGGGCUGUUCGCCCAUUAAAGCGGUACGCGAGCUGGGUUCAGAACGUCGUGAGACAGUUCGGUCCCUAUCCGGCGUGGGCGUAGGAUAUUUGAGAGGAGCUGUCCUUAGUACGAGAGGACCGGGAUGGACUGACCUCUGGUGUACCGGUUGAACCGCCAGGUUCACGGCCGGGUAGCCAAGUCGGGAAGGGAUAAACGCUGAAGGCAUCUAAGCGUGAAGCCCCCCUCAAGAUGAGAUAUCCCAUUCGAAAGAAGUAAGACCCCUUGAAGACGACGAGGUAGAUAGGGCAGAGGUGGAAGUGCCGUAAGGCAUGGAGCUGACUGUUACUAAUCGGUCGAGGGCUUGAC
rnacentral:rRNA from 1 species